rnacentral:lncRNA from 1 species
GUGUUUACUGUACCCAUACCUUCCCUAAAGUUUUGUUGGGAAUUUGUUUGAUCUAGCAAUGUUGCUCCCAUAGACUAUUUGAGUCUAUUGACCCUACAAUACAAGGUUUUCAACAUAGACGUUUUCAGUAAGUUUUGCCAACCAGUUCAAAAACUUUACCCAAAUUUGAUUGGUUAAACUGUUAAUUGUUCUCUAGACAGAUACAUGAAUGUGAGCUCUAUUCUUGUU